rnacentral:rRNA from 1 species
UGGGGAAUAUUGGACAAUGGGGGCAACCCUGAUCCAGCAAUGCCGCGUGUGUGAAGAAGGUCUUCGGAUUGUAAAGCACUUUCGACGGGGACGAUGAUGACGGUACCCGUAGAAGAAGCCCCGGCUAACUUCGUGCCAGCAGCCGCGGUAAUACGAAGGGGGCUAGCGUUGCUCGGAAUGACUGGGCGUAAAGGGCGUGUAGGCGGUUUACACAGUCAGAUGUGAAAUCCCCGGGCUUAACCUGGGAGCUGCAUUUGAUACGUGUAGACUAGAGUGUGAGAGAGGGUUGUGGAAUUCCCAGUGUAGAGGUGAAAUUCGUAGAUAUUGGGAAGAACACCGGUGGCGAAGGCGGCAACCUGGCUCAUGACUGACGCUGAGGCGCGAAAGCGUGGGGAGCAAACAGGAUUAGAUACCCUGGUAGUCCACGCUGUAAACGAUGUGUGCUAGAUGUUGGGUAACU